rnacentral:rRNA from 1 species
CGCUGGCGGCGUGCCUAAUACAUGCAAGUAGAACGCUGAAGAGAGGAGCUUGCUCUUCUUGGAUGAGUUGCGAACGGGUGAGUAACGCGUAGGUAACCUGCCUUGUAGCGGGGGAUAACUAUUGGAAACGAUAGCUAAUACCGCAUAACAAUGGAUGACACAUGUCAUUUAUUUGAAAGGGGCAAUUGCUCCACUACAAGAUGGACCUGCGUUGUAUUAGCUAGUAGGUGAGGUAAUGGCUCACCUAGGCGACGAUACAUAGCCGACCUGAGAGGGUGAUCGGCCACACUGGGACUGAGACACGGCCCAGACUCCUACGGGAGGCAGCAGUAGGGAAUCUUCGGCAAUGGGGGCAACCCUGACCGAGCAACGCCGCGUGAGUGAAGAAGGUUUUCGGAUCGUAAAGCUCUGUUGUAAGUCAAGAACGGGUGUGAGAGUGGAAAGUUCACACUGUGACGGUAGCUUACCAGAAAGGGACGGCUAACUACGUGCCAGCAGCCGCGGUAAUACGUAGGUCCCGAGCGUUGUCCGGAUUUAUUGGGCGUAAAGCGAGCGCAGGCGGUUUGAUAAGUCUGAAGUUAAAGGCUGUGGCUCAACCAUAGUUCGCUUUGGAAACUGUCAAACUUGAGUGCAGAAGGGGAGAGUGGAAUUCCAUGUGUAGCGGUGAAAUGCGUAGAUAUAUGGAGGAACACCGGUGGCGAAAGCGGCUCUCUGGUCUGUAACUGACGCUGAGGCUCGAAAGCGUGGGGAGCGAACAGGAUUAGAUACCCUGGUAGUCCACGCCGUAAACGAUGAGUGCUAGGUGUUGGAUCCUUUCCGGGAUUCAGUGCCGCAGCUAACGCAUUAAGCACUCCGCCUGGGGAGUACGACCGCAAGGUUGAAACUCAAAGGAAUUGACGGGGGCCCGCACAAGCGGUGGAGCAUGUGGUUUAAUUCGAAGCAACGCGAAGAACCUUACCAGGUCUUGACAUCCCGAUGCUAUUUCUAGAGAUAGAAAGUUACUUCGGUACAUCGGUGACAGGUGGUGCAUGGUUGUCGUCAGCUCGUGUCGUGAGAUGUUGGGUUAAGUCCCGCAACGAGCGCAACCCCUAUUGUUAGUUGCCAUCAUUCAGUUGGGCACUCUAGCGAGACUGCCGGUAAUAAACCGGAGGAAGGUGGGGAUGACGUCAAAUCAUCAUGCCCCUUAUGACCUGGGCUACACACGUGCUACAAUGGUUGGUACAACGAGUUGCGAGUCGGUGACGGCGAGCUAAUCUCUUAAAGCCAAUCUCAGUUCGGAUUGUAGGCUGCAACUCGCCUACAUGAAGUCGGAAUCGCUAGUAAUCGCGGAUCAGCACGCCGCGGUGAAUACGUUCCCGGGCCUUGUACACACCGCCCGUCACACCACGAGAGUUUGUAACACCCGAAGUCGGUGAGGUAACCUUUUGGAGCCAGCCGCCUAAGGUGGGACAGAUGAUUGGGGUGAAGUCGAA